UGCAAGUCGAGCGGUAGAGAGGUGCUUGCACCUCUUGAGAGCGGCGGACGGGUGAGUAAUGCCUAGGAAUCUGCCUGGUAGUGGGGGAUAACGCUCGGAAACGGACGCUAAUACCGCAUACGUCCUACGGGAGAAAGCAGGGGACCUUCGGGCCUUGCGCUAUCAGAUGAGCCUAGGUCGGAUUAGCUAGUUGGUGAGGUAAUGGCUCACCAAGGCGACGAUCCGUAACUGGUCUGAGAGGAUGAUCAGUCACACUGGAACUGAGACACGGUCCAGACUCCUACGGGAGGCAGCAGUGGGGAAUAUUGGACAAUGGGCGAAAGCCUGAUCCAGCCAUGCCGCGUGUGUGAAGAAGGUCUUCGGAUUGUAAAGCAC
rnacentral:rRNA from 1 species